CUAGCUCUUCAAAGCUGACCUCAUAAUGGAGGUUAAAGAAAAGAAGAAACGAUUUCUGUUUUCUCCAUGAAAAAGUGUCUCUAUGGGACGAGAGCUGCACAUUGCUGGGACAUGAAGGAGCAUGUUGCAGAAUGAAACCAGGCUGUUGCACGAAGGAGCCAGCAAUGGUGAUGGAAUUGCUGAGUGUCUGGAAGGAAUAGGUAUGCCUGUACUGAUGGGAGUCAUGGAGUUGCUGGGUUUAAAAGGAAAGUUUGCUGACAGCUACCAUCAAGUUGUGCAUGUGCAGUGGUGGAGAGUUUGUGGAAGCCUGUCACAUCAGGACCUGCAAAGCUAUGGCUGUAUUUCAAUGUUGGAGCCAACACCCAAAAGGUCACCAGGAACUAUGUGUGCAUGCUGCAAUGAUCAUUAACACCUUCUGUUGUGCAUGAAACAAAGCCAAGAGGAAAGCAAGGCAGCCUAUGGAGGACUUUUAUGAUGA
rnacentral:lncRNA from 1 species